AGGGCAUUCUCAAGUGUAAAAAAAUAAAGACUAUAAAAAUCUGUGGCCCAAUAACAAAGUGACACAGGUUUGAAAUUAAUCAAUGACAAACUUACCUUCAGACAGGAAAGUGGCAGUAGCAGGGUCAUGGAGUACCACUCCAUCGUUGAGUUUCACAGAGUUUCUCACCUGCAGCAUCCGCAUCAGGUAGCGCACACCUCCCUGAAUACACAGAAAAAUGACAAAGCAGGACACACACACACACACACACACACACACACACACACACA